rnacentral:tRNA from 1 species
GGCCUCGUAGUGUAGCGGUUAACACGCCUGCCUGUCACGCAGGAGAUCGCGGGUUCGAUUCCCGUCGAGACCG